GCCCCCAUAGCUCAGCUGGAUAGAGCGUCCCCCUCCUAAGGGGAAGGUCUCAGGUUCGAAUCCUGAUGGGGGUGCCA
rnacentral:tRNA from 1 species